rnacentral:rRNA from 1 species
CUGCCGUCUACUCUUGGACAGCCUUCUGAAAGGAAGAUUAAUACAAGAUGGCAUCAUGAGUCCGCAUGUUCACAUGAUUAAAGGUAUUCCGGUAGACGAUGGGGAUGCGUUCCAUUAGAUAGUAGGCGGGGUAACGGCCCACCUAGUCUUCGAUGGAUAGGGGUUCUGAGAGGAAGGUCCCCCACAUUGGAACUGAGACACGGUCCAAACUCCUACGGGAGGCAGCAGUGAGGAAUAUUGGUCAAUGGACGAGAGUCUGAACCAGCCAAGUAGCGUGAAGGAUGACUGCCCUAUGGGUUGUAAACUUCUUUUAUAAAGGAAUAAAGUCGGGUAUGGAUACCCGUUUGCAUGUACUUUAUGAAUAAGGAUCGGCUAACUCCGUGCCAGCAGCCGCGGUAAUACGGAGGAUCCGAGCGUUAUCCGGAUUUAUUGGGUUUAAAGGGAGCGUAGAUGGAUGUUUAAGUCAGUUGUGAAAGUUUGCGGCUCAACCGUAAAAUUGCAGUUGAUACUGGAUAUCUUGAGUGCAGUUGAGGCAGGCGGAAUUCGUGGUGUAGCGGUGAAAUGCUUAGAUAUCACGAAGAACUCCGAUUGCGAAGGCAGCUUGCU